GAUCGACCACCACUUUUCGUUUUUCGGCUGAAACAUCACAUGCUGGCCAUUCGUCAGCGGCUGAACGAAGAACGAUCUCUGCCCGAUCAACAUCAAGGCGUACACUUCUUCUUUGCAUAUCGUCACGACGACGAAGGAACUCGCGUCUCCUUCCAAGCUGCCUUGUCGAAGAUCGCAGUUCGCCUUGGCGUUACGUCGCUCGGACUUGGUUUUACCCUGGCGCACCCAAUUCACGGUGAAAUUCGACGACAGUAUCAAUCGAUCGUUGGCCAUGGUCCUUAAGGUCCAGUUGCUGAUCUCGAGGAACACCGGCUCUUGGUGGAGAUACUCGCGCCAAGUUUCUCGGUCUUCGUGGGUCGAUCUUCUGUUCCGCGCGCUCUCAUUCGGGAUCACUCGAGGGUAAACGAUCUCGUACUCCUGCAAGCUUUGCAGAAAGUCGCUCAUUCGCGACUUAGUAGCGAUCGUGCCGAGCAGCCACGUGG